AUAAGACAAGUCGGCGUCAUUCUCUCCGCCUUGUGAUAAGGACUACUGAGCUGACUCUAUCGCCUUCAAAACCUUCAGCCAUAAAUAUUUGGUUUUCGGUCCAGUGUUUUUCAUUCCUCGAAGGUUAUGAUUUCUGUCGCUGUAUUUCUUUCACUGUAUUAUCCUCUCCGUCUGCCUUUCUCCUUCUGUCUGUCUGUCUGUUUGUUAGACUCCCCCCUCUCUCUGUGUCAUUGAAUGAAUAAAAAGAUGGAGAGAUACUUAAGUAAAUGAAUAUACAAAUAUAACAUUCCUCCUCCAGAAUGAGACCUACGUCAUCUAUGUAAAUCUUACCGGUGAAGACGACUACGAGAGGUCUUAUCAUGUUCUAGGCAAGUGCAUGGGCUUCUACUACCCUUACCUCUACGAAAACUACCACGGCACUUUCUCCUUAAAGUUCUUCAAGACGCCUUUCAUCAUCGUGUCGUGCCCGGCGUCAGCUUAUUGCUGGAACGUGGACCCGAGUGUGAUCUACCACCCGACCAAGGAGGCCCUCGACUACGCC